rnacentral:rRNA from 1 species
UCAAGUAAUUAAGUGCAUGUGGUGGAUGCCUUGGCAGUCAGAGGCGAUGAAAGACGUGAUAGCCUGCGAAAAGCUCCGGGGAGGCGGCAAAUAUCCUUUGAUCCGGAGAUGUCUGAAUGGGGGAACCCACCUACUUUAAGGUAGGUAUUGCAACAUGAAUACAUAGUGUUGCAAGGCGAACGAGGGGAAGUGAAACAUCUCAGUACCCUUAGGAAAAGAAAUCAAUUGAGAUUCCCUCAGUAGCGGCGAGCGAACGGGGAUCAGCCCAUUAAGUUAUGUGUGUUUUAGUGGAACGCUCUGGGAAGUGCGAACGUAGAGGGUGAUAUUCCCGUACACGAAAGGGCACACAUAAUGAUGACGAGUAGGGCGAGGCACGUGAAACCUUGUCUGAAUAUGGGGGGACCAUCCUCCAAGGCUAAAUACUCCUGACUGACCGAUAGUGAACCAGUACCGUGAGGGAAAGGCGAAAAGAACCCCUGUGAGGGGAGUGAAAUAGAUCCUGAAACCGCAUGCAUACAAGCAGUGGGAGCACCUUCGUGGUGUGACUGCGUACCUUUUGUAUAAUGGGUCAGCGACUUAUAUUCAGUAGCAAGGUUAACCGUAUAGGGGAGCCGUAGAGAAAUCGAGUCUUAAUAGGGCGUUUAGUUGCUGGGUAUAGACCCGAAACCAGGCGAUCUAUCCAUGAGCAGGUUGAAGGUUGGGUAACACUAACUGGAGGACCGAACCCACUGUCGUUGAAAAGCCAGGGGAUGACUUGUGGAUAGGGGUGAAAGGCUAAUCAAGCCUGGUGAUAGCUGGUUCUCCCCGAAAGCUAUUUAGGUAGCGCCUCGGACGAAUACCAUAGGGGGUAGAGCACUGUUUCGGCUAGGGGGUCAUCCCGACUUACCAAACCGAUGCAAACUCCGAAUACCUAUGAGUACUAUCCGGGAGACAGACUGCGGGUGCUAACGUCCGUAGUCAAGAGGAAAACAAUCCAGACCGCCAGCUAAGGCCCCAAAAUCAUAGUUAAGUGGGAAACGAUGUGGGAAGGCAUAGACAGCUAGGAGGUUGGCUUAGAAGCAGCCACCCUUUAAAGAAAGCGUAAUAGCUCACUAGUCGAGUCGGCCUGCGCGGAAGAUGUAACGGGGCUAAAACUAUGUGCCGAAGCUGCGGAUGUAUACUUUGUAUACGUGGUAGGGGAGCGUUCUGUAAGCCGAUGAAGGUGUGUUGAGAAGCAUGCUGGAGGUAUCAGAAGUGCGAAUGCUGACGUGAGUAACGACAAAACGGGUGAAAAACCCGUUCGCCGAAUUGACAUUAGUCAAGUGGUAGGGGAGCGUUCUGUAAGCCGAUGAAGGUGUAUUGAGAAGUAUGCUGGAGGUAUCAGAAGUGCGAAUGCUGACGUGAGUAACGACAAAACGGGUGAAAAACCCGUUCGCCGAAAGACCAAGGGUUCCAGUCCAACGUUAAUCGGGGCUGGGUGAGUCGACCCCUAAGGCGAGGCCGAAAGGCGUAGUCGAUGGGAAAAUGGUUAAUAUUCCAUUACUUCUGUGUAAUGCGAUGAGAGGACGGAGAAGGCUAAAUCAGCCUGGCGUUGGUUGUCCAGGUGAAAGGAUGUAGGCAUGUAUCUUAGGCAAAUCCGGGGUACUCUAUGCUGAGAUCUGAUAGCAAGCUGUACUUGUACAGCGAAGUGGUUGAUGCCAUGCUUCCAGGAAAAGUCUCUAAGCUUCAGUUACACAGGAAUCGUACCCGAAACCGACACAGGUGGUCAGGUCGAGUAGACCAAGGCGCUUGAGAGAACUCUGCUGAAGGAACUAGGCAAAAUGGUACCGUAACUUCGGGAGAAGGUACGCUGUUGUUGGUGAUGGAACUCGCUUCCUGAGCUGACGACAGCCGCAGAAACCAGGCCGCUGCAACUGUUUAUUAAAAACAUAGCACUCUGCAAACACGAAAGUGGACGUAUAGGGUGUGAUGCCUGCCCGGUGCUGGAAGGUUAAUUGAUGGGGUUAGCGUAAGCGAAGCUCUUGAUCGAAGCCCCAGUAAACGGCGGCCGUAACUAUAACGGUCCUAAGGUAGCGAAAUUCCUUGUCGGGUAAGUUCCGACCUGCACGAAUGGCAUAAUGAUGGCGGCGCUGUCUCCAGCAGAGGCUCAGUGAAAUCGAAAUCGCUGUGAAGAUGCAGUGUACCCGCGGCUAGACGGAAAGACCCCGUGAACCUUUACUGCAGCUUGACACUGAACUUUGACCUUACUUGUGUAGGAUAGGUGGGAGGCUUUGAAGCUGGAACGCUAGUUCCAGUGGAGCCGUCCUUGAAAUACCACCCUGGUAAUGUUGAGGUUCUAACUCUGUCCCGUGAUCCGGGACGAGGACCGUGUCUGGUGGGUAGUUUGACUGGGGCGGUCUCCUCCUAAAGAGUAACGGAGGAGUACGAAGGUGCGCUCAGCGUGGUCGGAAAUCACGCGUAGAGUAUAAAGGCAAAAGCGCGCUUAACUGCGAGACCCACAAGUCGAGCAGGUACGAAAGUAGGUCUUAGUGAUCCGGUGGUUCUGUAUGGAAGGGCCAUCGCUCAACGGAUAAAAGGUACUCUGGGGAUAACAGGCUGAUACCGCCCAAGAGUUCAUAUCGACGGCGGUGUUUGGCACCUCGAUGUCGGCUCAUCUCAUCCUGGGGCUGAAGCAGGUCCCAAGGGUAUGGCUGUUCGCCAUUUAAAGAGGUACGCGAGCUGGGUUUAGAACGUCGUGAGACAGUUCGGUCCCUAUCUACCGUGGGCGCUGGAAAUUUGAGAGGAUCUGCUCCUAGUACGAGAGGACCAGAGUGGACGAACCUCUGGUGUACCGGUUGUGACGCCAGUCGCAUCGCCGGGUAGCUAUGUUCGGAAGGGAUAACCGCUGAAAGCAUCUAAGCGGGAAGCCUACCUCAAGAUAAGAUUUCCCUAGGACUUUAUGUCCUCUAAAGAGCCGUUCGAGACUAGGACGUUGAUAGGUUGGAUGUGGAAGCAUAGUGAUAUGUGAAGCUGACCAAUACUAAUUGCUCGUGAGGCUUGACUAU